UUUGGCCUUUUUUUAAGUCCGAAGUCUCAUCCCGACUUGUGGGGGAAUCAUAGUCUUCAUCGUCCUUUCCUCACUUGGGACAAUACUCUAAUAAUGAAGAUCAUCACACUUCUAUUAAUUUACAACUCGAGAAUUACAACUCAACACUUAGAACAAAAUAUGACUCUAUAUGAAUGCCUCCGGCGGUGUACCGGGAUAUGCAAUGAAUCAAGAGUGACAUGUAUGAAAAUAUAUGAAGGUGGCCUUGCCACAAAUACAAUGUCAACUACAUGAUCAUGCAAAGAGCAAUAUGACAAUGAUGGAGCGUGUCAUAAUAACGGAAUGGUGGAAAGUUGCAUGGCAAUAUAUCUCAGAAUGGCUAUGGAAAUGCCAUAAUAGGUAGGUAUGGUGGUGUUUUGAGGAAGGUAAAUAAUAGGUGCAUGAUACCGGUGAAAGUUGCGCGACACAAUAGAGGCUAGCAAAGUGGAAGGGUGAGUGUGCGUAUAUCCAUGGACUCACAUUAGUCAUAAAGAACUCAUAUACUUAUUGCAAAAGUCUACUUAGCCCUUGAAGCAAAGUACUACUACACAUGCCCCUAGAGGGAUAUAUUGGUAGGAAAAGACCAUCGCUCGUCCCCGACUAUCACUCAUAAGGAAGACAAUCAAAAGAGCACCCCAUGCAACAAAUUUGUCACACAACUUUUACCAUAUUUGCAUGCUACGGGACUUGCCAACUUCAACACAAGUAUUUAUCAAUUUCAUAAUUAUCCACUAGCAUGACUCUAAUAUUACCACCUUUAUAUCUCAAAACAAUUAUCAAGCAUCAAAUUGAUCCUAGUGUUUAAUGCACUUUCUAUGAUAGUUUUUAUUAUACCCAACUUGGAUGCUCACCAUUCUAGGGCCAAAUUUAUAACCAUAGCAAAUACCAUGCUGUUCUAAAAGACUCUCAAAAUAAUAUAAGUGAAGCAUGAGAGAUCAACAAUUUCUUCAAAACUAAGCCACCACCGUGCUCUAAAAGAUAUAAGUGAAGCACUAGAGCAAAAACUAUCUAGCUCAAAAGAUAUAAGUGAAGCACAUAGAGUAUUCUAAUAAAUUCCAAUCAAGUGGGUUUCUCCCAAAAGGUGUGUACAGCAAGGAUGAUUGUGGUAAACUAAAAAGCAAAGACUAAUAUCAUACAAGACGCUCCAAGCAAAACACAUAUCAUGUGGCGAAUAAAAAUAUAGCUCCAAGUAAAGUUACCAAUGAACAAAGACGAAAGAGGGGAUGCCUUCCGGGGCAUCCCCAAGCUUAGGCUUUUGGCUAUUCUUGAAAAUCUUGGGGUGCCAUGGGCAUCCCCAAGCUUAGGCUCUUGCCACUCCUUAUUCCAUAGUCCAUCAAAUCUUUACCCAAAACUCGAAAACUUCACAACACAAAACUCAACAGGAAAUCUCAUAAGCUCCGUUAGUGGAAGAAAGAAAAACCACCACAUAAGGUACUGUAAUGAACUCAUUCUUUAUUUAUAUUGGUGUUAAACCUACUGUAUUUCAACUUUUCUAUGGUUCAUACCCUUACAUACAAGCCAUAGAUGCAUCAAAAUAAGCAAACAACACUCAAAAAACAGAAUCUGUCAAAAAUAGAACAGUCGGUAGCAAUCCGUAACUCUCGAAUACUUCUGGAACUCUAGCAAUCCUACCAAAAUAGGAAGUACUGGGAAAUUUGUCUAUUGAUAUACAUAAAAAAAACAACGCAAAAGCACGUUUCUGUGAAUUACUAAAAUUAUUUUCAUGCGCGCAAAGUUUCUGUUUUUCAACAGAAUCAAAUUAACUAUCACCAUAGGUUAUCCUAUAGGUUCUACUUGGCACAAACACUAAUUAAAACAUAAAAACACAUCUAAACAGAGGGUAGAUGAAAAAUUUAUUACUAAACAAAAACAAAAAAAACACAAAAUAAAAUUGGGUUGCCUCCCAACUAGCGCUAUCGUUUAACGCCCAUAGCUAGGCAUAAAAGCGAGGAUAGAUCUAAGUAGUGCCAUCUUUGGCACUCAAAUCUUCAAUAGAGCACUUAUAAUCCCUAGGAGUUUCUUUAUUUUAGUAAUUAUUAAGCUCCUAGGUAAGAAAUCAAGAAAUUCAUUUGUAGCAAACGGUUCCUUAAUGAUAGCAAGAAAAUUGGGGUGAACACUAAUUGAUUUGGGAUCAGCACUUUCUUUACUAGAAGAUUCACCCUUAUUUUUAGGAACAUACAUGCCCUUGGCAAAUUUCGUAGGAGGAGUUGGGGUAUUUUUCACAGAUGAAAAGGCAGACCCUAAGUUGGUGAUAAUGUCCUCUAGUUUACCAAUUCUUGUAGAAUCUAGAUCUAUUCUUUCAUUAACUAUAGGUUCUUUUUCUUUAAAAAAAUUCAAGGUAACACCAACCCUAGAUCCAUAUUGGGUAACUUGAUUGUGGACCUUUUUAUCCAAAUUUUCAAUUAACUCAACAGUGCAACUUUAUUUUCAAUAACUUCAAGCCUUUGCAUCACAUGUUCCAAGGUUAAAACAGUUCCAUUAACCAAAAGAUGGGGUGGACCAAACAAAUCUAACAUAGCAUUGUAAGCAUCAAAAGUAUGACUACCCAAGAAAUUCCCUCCGGUAAUGGUAUCAAGGAUAUAUCUAUUCCAAGGGGUAAUGCCCACAUAAAAAUUGCGAAGAAGAACGGAAGUGGAUAGCUUCCUAGUAGAUCUAUUUUGAGCAUUGCAAAUUCUAUGCCAAGCAUCUUUCAAAUUUUCUCCCUCCCUUUGUUUAAAAUUGAGAACUUCAUGAUCGGGAGUAUUGAUGAUAAUAGGAGGACUAGCCAUAGUGACGAGCACACAAAAAGUCAAGGAAAAGAGAGAGGAGAUUGGGAAAGAGAGGGCGAAUAAAAUGGCAAGGGUGAAGUGGGGGAGAGGAAAACGAGAGGCAAAUGGCAAAUAAUGUAAAUGCGAGGGAGAUGCGUUUGUGAUGGGUACUUGGUACGCUUGACUUGAGUGAAGACCUCCUCGGCAAUGGCGCCAGAAAUCCUUCUUGCUACGUCUUGAGCUUGCGUUGGUUUUCCUUGAAGAGGGAAGGGUGAUGCAGCAAUAGUAGCAUAAGUAUUUCCCUCAGUUUAUGAGAACCAAGGUAUCCAUCCAGUAGGAGGCUCCUCAAAAGUCCCAUGCACCUACACAAACAAACAAGAACUCGCAACCAACGCGAUAAAGGGGUUGUCAAUCCCUUCACAGCCACUUGCGAAAGUGAGAUCUGAUAGAGAUAAUAUGAUAAGAUAAAUAUAUUUUUGGUAUUUUAUAAUAUAGAUAGGAAAAGUAAAGAUGCAAAUAAAAGUAGAUUGAAAGCUUAUAUGAUAAAAGAUAGACCCGGGGGCCAUAGGUUUCACUAGUGGCUUCUCUCAAGAUAGCAUAAGUAUUACGGUGGGUGAACAAAUUACUUUCGAGCAAUUGAUAGAAAAGCGGAUAAUUAUGAGAUUAUCUAGGCAAGAUCAUGUAUAUAGGCAUCACGUCCGUGACAAGUAGACCGACUCCUACCUGCAUCUACUACUAUUACUCCACACAUCGACCGCUAUCCAGCAUGCAUCUAGAGUAUUAAGUUAAUAAAGAACAGUGUAACACAUUAAGAAAGAUGACAUGAUGUAGAGGGAUAAACUCAUGUAAUAUGAUAUAAACCCCAUCUUUUUAUCCUCGAUGGCAACAAUACAAUACGUGCCUUGCUGCCCCUGCUACCACUGGGAAAGGACACCGCAAGAUUGAACCCAAAGCUAAGCACUUCUCCCAUUACAAGAAAGAUCAAUCUAGUAGGCCAAACCAAACUGAUAAUUCAAAGAGACUUGCAAAGAUAACUUAAUCACACAUAAAAGAAUUCAGAGGAGAUUCAAAUAUUUCUCAUAGAUAAACUUGAUCAUAAACCCACAAUUCAUCAGAUCUCGACAAACACACUGCAAAAAGAGUUACAUCGAAUAGAUCUCCAAGAAGAUCCAGGAGAACAUGGUAUUGAGAUUCAAAGAGAGAGGAGAAGCCAUCUGGCUAAUAAUUAUGGACCCGAAGGUCUGUGGUAAACAAUUCACAACUCAUCGGAGAGGCUAUGGUGUUGAUAUAGAAGCCCUUCAGGGUUGAUUCCCCCUCCAGCAGAGCGCCGACGAAGGCUCCAAGAUGGGAUCUCAUAGAUACAGAAGGUUACGGCGGUGGAAAUAGUUUUUCAUGGUCUCUUCUGAUGUUCUCAGGGUACGUGGGUAUAUAUAGGAGGAAGAAGUAGGUUGGUGGAUGCCCGAGGGGCCCACGAGAUAGGGGGGCGCGCCUAGUAGGGGGGCACGCCCUCCACCCUCGUGGCUUCCUCGAUUGUUUCUUGACUUCCACUCCAAGUCCUCUGGAUCACGUUUGUUCCAAAAAGAUCGCUCCCGAAGGUUUCAUUCCAUUUGGACUCUGUUUGACAUUCCUUUUCUUCGAAACACUAAAAUAGGAAGAAAAAACCAGUAAUACGGGCUGGGCCUCCGGUUAGUAGGUUAGUCCCAAAAAUGAUAUAAAAGUGUAAAGUAAAGCCCAUAAACAUCCAAAAUGGGUAAUAUAAUAGGAUGGAACAAUCAAAAAAUAUAGAUACGUUGGAGACGUAUCAAGCAUCCCCAAGCUUAAUUCCUUCUCGUCCUCGAGUAGGUAAAUAAUAAAAACAGAAUUUUUGAUGUGGAAUGCUACCUAGCAUAAUUCUCAAUGUAAUUUUCUUUAUUGUGGCCUGAUUGUUCAGAUCCAAAUAAUUCAAGAUAAAAGCUUUUAAAACAUAAUAAUAAUAAUAAUAAUAAUACUCAAAGCAUACUAACAAAUAAUCAUGUCUUAUCAAAAUAGCAUAGCCGAAGAAAGCUUAUCCUUACAAAAUCAUAUAGUUAGGCCAUGCUUCAUUUUCAUUACACAAAAUACUCCCAUCAUGCACAACCCCGAUGACGAGCCGAGCAAUUGGUUCAUACUUUUUAACGCGCUUCAGCUUUUUCAACUCUUAUGCAAUACAUGAGCGCAAGCCAUGGACAUAGCACUAUGGUGGUAUAUGGUGGUGGUUGUGAGGACAAAAAGGGAGAAGAUAGUCUCACAUCAACUAGGCGUAUCAACAGGCUAUGGAGAUGCCCAUCAAUAGAUAUCAAUGUGAGUGAGUAGGGAUUGCCACGCAAUGGAUGCACUAGAGCUAAAAAUAUAUGAAAGCUCAACAAAAUAAACUAAGCGGGUGUGCAUCCAACUCGCUUGCUCACGAAGACCUAGGGCAUUUUGAGGAAGCCCAUCAUUGGAAUAUACAAGCCAAGUUCUAUAAUGAAAAAUUCCCACUAGUAUAUGAAAGUGACAACACAAGAGACUCUCUAUCAUGAAGAUCAUAGUGCUAUUUUGAAGCACAAGUGUGGAAAAGAGAUAGUAGUAUUGUCCCUUCUCUCUUUUUCUCUCAUUUUUUAUGUGGCCUUUUUUUUAUUUGGUGGGAUCUUUGGCCUUUUGUUAAGUCCGAAGUCUCAUCCCGACUUGUGGGGGAAUCAUAGUCUUCAUCGUCCUUUCCUCACUUGGGACAAUACUCUAAUAAGGAAGAUCAUCACACUUCUAUUAAUUUACAACUCGAGAAUUACAACUCAACACUUAGAACAAAAUAUGACUCUAUAUGAAUGCCUCCGGCGGUGUACCGGGAUAUGCAAUGAAUCAAGAGUGACAUGUAUGAAAAUAUAUGAAGGUGGCCUUGCCACAAAUACAAUGUCAACUACAUGAUCAUGCAAAGAGCAAUAUGACAAUGAUGGAGCGUGUCAUAAUAACGGAAUGGUGG
rnacentral:lncRNA from 1 species